AUUGAACGCUGGCGGCAGGCCUAACACAUGCAAGUCGAGCGAGCGGCGGACGGGUGAGUAAUGUAUGGGGAUCUGCCCGAUCGCGGGGGAUAAAUAAUGGAAAAGGUGGCUAAUAACCCAUACUAUCCGAUGAACCCAUAUGGGAUUAGCUAGUAGGUGGGGUAAAGGCUCACCUGGGCGACGAUCGCUAGCUGGUCUGAGAGGAUGAUCAGCAACACUGGGACUGAGCCACGGCCCAGACUCCUACGGGAGGCAGCAGUGGGGAAUAUUGCACAAUGGGCGAAAGCAUGAUGCAGCCAUGCCGCGUGUAUGAAGAAGGCCGUCGGGUUGUAAAGGACUUUCAGCGGGGAGGCGUUACCCGCAGAAGAAGCACCGGCUAACUCCGUGCCAGCAGCCGCGGUAAUAC
rnacentral:rRNA from 1 species